rnacentral:rRNA from 1 species
CACGUAGGCGGGUUGUUAAGUUGGGGGUGAAAUCCUGGAGCUCAACUCCAGAACUGCCUCCAAAACUGGCGAUCUUGAGUUCGGGAGAGGUGAGUGGAACUGCGAGUGUAGAGGUGAAAUUCGUAGAUAUUCGCAAGAACACCAGUGGCGAAGGCGGCUCACUGGCCCGAUACUGACGCUGAGGUGCGAAAGCGUGGGGAGCAAACA